CACGUAGGGGGCAAGCGUUGUCCGGAUUUAUUGGGCGUAAAGAGCUCGUAGGCGGUUCGGUAAGUCGGGUGUGAAACCUCCAGGCUCAACCUGGAGACGCCACCCGAUACUGCUGUGACUUGAGUCCGGUAGGGGAGCGUGGAAUUCCCGGUGUAGCGGUGAAAUGCGCAGAUAUCGGGAGGAACACCAAUGGCGAAGGCAGCUCGCUGGGACGGUACUGACGCUGAGACGCGAAAGCGUGGGGAGCAAACAGG
rnacentral:rRNA from 1 species